GACGAACGCUGGCGGCGUGCCUAAUACAUGCAAGUAGAACGCUGAAGAGAGGAGCUUGCUCUUCUUGGAUGAGUUGCGAACGGGUGAGUAACGCGUAGGUAACCUGCCUUGUAGCGGGGGAUAACUAUUGGAAACGAUAGCUAAUACCGCAUAACAAUGGAUGACACAUGUCAUUUAUUUGAAAGGGGCAAUUGCUCCACUACAAGAUGGACCUGCGUUGUAUUAGCUAGUAGGUGAGGUAAUGGCUCACCUAGGCGACGAUACAUAGCCGACCUGAGAGGGUGAUCGGCCACACUGGGACUGAGACACGGCCCAGACUCCUACGGGAGGCAGCAGUAGGGAAUCUUCGGCAAUGGGGGCAACCCUGACCGAGCAACGCCGCGUGAGUGAAGAAGGUUUUCGGAUCGUAAAGCUCUGUUGUAAGUCAAGAACGGGUGUGAGAGUGGAAAGUUCACACUGUGACGGUAGCUUACCAGAAAGGGACGGCUAACUACGUGCCAGCAGCCGCGGUAAUACGUAGGUCCCGAGCGUUGUCCGGAUUUAUUGGGCGUAAAGCGAGCGCAGGCGGUUUGAUAAGUCUGAAGUUAAAGGCUGUGGCUCAACCAUAGUUCGCUUUGGAAACUGUCAAACUUGAGUGCAGAAGGGGAGAGUGGAAUUCCAUGUGUAGCGGUGAAAUGCGUAGAUAUAUGGAGGAACACCGGUGGCGAAAGCGGCUCUCUGGUCUGUAACUGACGCUGAGGCUCGAAAGCGUGGGGAGCGAACAGGAUUAGAUACCCUGGUAGUCCACGCCGUAAACGAUGAGUGCUAGGUGUUGGAUCCUUUCCGGGAUUCAGUGCCGCAGCUAACGCAUUAAGCACUCCGCCUGGGGAGUACGACCGCAAGGUUGAAACUCAAAGGAAUUGACGGGGGCCCGCACAAGCGGUGGAGCAUGUGGUUUAAUUCGAAGCAACGCGAAGAACCUUACCAGGUCUUGACAUCCCGAUGCUAUUUCUAGAGAUAGAAAGUUACUUCGGUACAUCGGUGACAGGUGGUGCAUGGUUGUCGCCAGCUCGUGUCGUGAGAUGUUGGGUUAAGUCCCGCAACGAGCGCAACCCCUAUUGUUAGUUGCCAUCAUUCAGUUGGGCACUCUAGCGAGACUGCCGGUAAUAAACCGGAGGAAGGUGGGGAUGACGUCAAAUCAUCAUGCCCCUUAUGACCUGGGCUACACACGUGCUACAAUGGUUGGUACAACGAGUUGCGAGUCGGUGACGGCGAGCUAAUCUCUUAAAGCCAAUCUCAGUUCGGAUUGUAGGCUGCAACUCGCCUACAUGAAGUCGGAAUCGCUAGUAAUCGCGGAUCAGCACGCCGCGGUGAAUACGUUCCCGGGCCU
rnacentral:rRNA from 1 species